UCCCUACAGGACAGGUCUUCCAAAUUGUGCCAUCCAGGUUUUGUUCUUUACAUUUCUGUCUAAGCGUAACAGCUUUGAC